rnacentral:rRNA from 1 species
GAAACGACUGCUAAGACUGGAUAGGAGAUAAGAAGGCAUCUUCUUAUUUUUAAAAGACCUAGCAAUAGGUAUGCUUAAGGAGGGGCUUGCGUCACAUUAGUUAGUUGGUAGGGUAAAAGCCUACCAAGACAAUGAUGUGUAGCCGGGCUGAGAGGUUGAACGGCCACAUUGGAACUGAGACACGGUCCAAACUCCUACGGGAGGCAGCAGUAGGGAAUUUUCGGCAAUGGAGGAAACUCUGACCGAGCAACGCCGCGUGAACGAUGAAGUAUUUCGGUACGUAAAGUUCUUUUAUUAAGGAAGAAAAGAUGGUGGAAAAACCAUUAUGACGGUACUUAAUGAAUAAGCCCCGGCUAACUAUGUGCCAGCAGCCGCGGUAAUACAUAGGGGGCGAGCGUUAUCCGGAAUUAUUGGGCGUAAAGGGUGCGUAGGCGGUUUAAUAAGUUUAUGGUCUAAGUGCAAUGCUUAACAUUGUGAUGCUAUAAAAACUGUUUGGCUAGAGUUGGAUAGAGGCAAGUGGAAUUCCAUGUGUAGUGGUAAAAUGCGUAAAUAUAUGGAGGAACACCAUGAGCGAAGGCGGCUUGCUGGGUCUUAACUGACGCUGAGGCACGAAAGCGUGGGGAGCAAACAGGAUUAGAUACCCUGGUAGUCCACGCCGUAAACGAUGAGUACUAGACGUUGGGUUAAACCAGUGUCGAAGUUAACACAUUAAGUACUCCGCCUGAGUAGUACGUACGCAAGUAUGAAACUUAAAGGAAUUGACGGGACUCCGCACAAGCGGUGGAUCAUGUUGUUUAAUUCGAAGGUACCCGAAAAACCUCACCAGGUCUUGACAUGUUUCUGCAAAGCUGUAGAAAUACAGCGGAGGUUAUCAGUUGCACAGGUGGUGCAUGGUUGUCGUCAGCUCGUGUCGUGAGAUGUUGGGUUAAGUCCCGCAACGAGCGCAACCCUUGUUGUUAAUUGCCAUCAUUAAGUUGGGGACUUUAGCAAGACUGCCAGUGAUAAAUUGGAGGAAGGUGGGGACGACGUCAAAUCAUCACGCCCCUUAUGACCUGGGCUACAAACGUGAUACAAUGGCUGUUACAAAGGGUAGCUGAAGCGCAAGCUUUUGGCAAAUCUCAAAAAAACAGUCUCAGUUCGGAUUGAAGUCUGCAACUCGACUUCAUGAAGUUGGAAUCGCUAGUAAUCGCGAAUCAGCAUGUCGCGGUGAAUACGUUCUCGGGGUUUGUACACACCGCGCGUCA